rnacentral:rRNA from 1 species
GACGAACGCUGGCGGUGUGCUUCACACAUGCAAGUCGAACGAGGUAGCAAUACCUAGUGGCGGACGGGGUGAGUAACGCGUGGGAAUCUGCCUUUAGAUGGGGGAUAACGAGCCGAAAGGUUCGCUAAUACCGCAUAUGCCGCAAGGUGAAAGGAGUAAUCCGUCUGAAGAUGAGCCCGCGUCCGAUUAGCUAGUUGUGGGGUAAAGGCCUACCAAGGCGACGAUCGGUAGCUGGUCUGAGAGGAUGAUCAGCCACAAUGGGACUGAGACACGGCCCAUACUCCUACGGGAGGCAGCAGUGGGGAAUUUUACGCAAUGGGGGAAACCCUGACGUAGCGACACCGCGU